rnacentral:rRNA from 1 species
CCUACGGGAGGCAGCAGUGGGGAAUAUUGGACAAUGGGCGCAAGCCUGAUCCAGCAAUGCCGCGUGUGUGAAGAAGGCCUGCGGGUUGUAAAGCACUUUCGGUUGGGAAGAAGUUUGGCUUGUUAAUAUCAAACCAAAUUGACAUUACCUUCAGAAGAAGCACCGGCUAACUCCGUGCCAGCAGCCGCGGUAAUACGGAGGGUGCGAGCGUUAAUCGGAAUUACUGGGCGUAAAGCGCGCGUAGGUGGUUGGGUAAGUCGGAUGUGAAAGCCCUGGGCUUAACCUAGGAACGGCACUCGAUACUGCCCGACUAGAGUAUGGUAGAGGAAAGCGGAAUUCCCGGUGUAGCGGUGAAAUGCGUAGAUAUCGGGAGGAACAUCAGUGGCGAAGGCGGCUUUCUGGACCAAUACUGACACUGAGGCGCGAAAGCGUGGGUAGCAAACAGGAUUAGAUACCCUGGUAGUCCACGCCCUAAACGAUGUCAACUAGCCGUUAGGUUCAUUUAGAGAUAGUGUGCNNACGACGAGAGUAGUACGCCGCGGNGGACGGCGGCGAACGUAAACGUUAAAGUUAAGUUAAGUAGUUAGCGUGNGAGNGCGACGACGACGACGAGGAGGAGG